rnacentral:sRNA from 1 species
GCCAGGCGUGGUGGCACAUGCCUGUAGUCCCAGCUACUCGGGAGGCUGAGGCAGAAGAAUCUCUUGAACCCAGCUAAUUUUUGUAUUUUUAGUAGAGACGGGGUUUCACCAUGUUGGCCAAGCUGGUCUCGAACUCCUGACCUCGCGAUCUGCCCGCCACA